GUGGGGAAUUUUGGACAAUGGGGGAAACCCUGAUCCAGCUAUGCCGCGUGCGGGAUGAAGGCCUUCGGGUUGUAAACCGCUUUUGUCAGAGACGAAAAGGGACGCACGAAUAAUACGUUCCGCUGACGGUAUCUGAAGAAUAAGCACCGGCUAACUACGUGCCAGCAGCCGCGGUAAUACGUAGGGUGCAAGCGUUAAUCGGAAUUACUGGGCGUAAAGGGUGCGCAGGCGGCUGUGCAAGACAGAUGUGAAAUCCCCGGGCUUAACCUGGGAACUGCAUUUGUGACUGCACGGCUAGAGUUUGUCAGAGGAGGGUGGAAUUCCGCGUGUAGCAGUGAAAUGCGUAGAUAUGCGGAAGAACACCAAUGGCGAAGGCAGCCCUCUGGGACAUGACUGACGCUCAUGCACGAAAGCGUGGGGAGCAAACAGGAUUAGAUACCCUUGUAGUCC
rnacentral:rRNA from 1 species